rnacentral:rRNA from 1 species
CAGUAGCCGCGGGAAUACAGAGGGUGCGAGCGUUAAUCGGAUUUACUGGGCGUAAAGCGUGCGUAGGCGGCUUCUUAAGUCGGAUGUGAAAUCCCUGAGCUUAACUUAGGAAUUGCAUUCGAUACUGGGAAGCUAGAGUAUGGGAGAGGAUGGUAGAAUUCCAGGUGUAGCGGUGAAAUGCGUAGAGAUCUGGAGGAAUACCGAUGGCGAAGGCAGCCAUCUGGCCUAAUACUGACGCUGAGGUACUAAAGCAUGGGGAGCAAACAGGAUUAGAUACCCCUGUAGUCCCUGUCUCUUAUAU